rnacentral:lncRNA from 1 species
CCCAGCAUAAAUUUCCAUAAUUCUUGGGCUUUUACAUUUAAUCUCCAACAAUAGGAAAGGCAUAACUCGUAAACACCGUAAUUUUCUUUAGGUGCAAUUAACAAAUCAGCGUGGCCAUGUGUAUGGUUUCUAUGGCAUGGUCACGAUACGUAAACCCCAAAUCGAGUGCGCGUUCUCACGCGACUUGACCAUAACUUCAAAAUAAUAAAAAUAAACAAAUUGCAAAUCAAUCGCGGGUACGUUUCACUGGAAUGAUUCACAAUAUGUACAAAAACAAAUGAGUGCGCGACAUCGCGACUUGUUUAAAUAAAUUCCAUAAAUGCUAAAAGUGAUUAAAUAAAUAUUUAAAAGCGGUUAGAAAGUUAAAUUGCACAUAAGUCUUAAAACAUGUAAUAAUUCAGGUAAUCAAACCAAGUUUUAAUUGUUGAGCAAUUAUGCUCACACCUUCUCCCGGGUUAACAAAAUUCCUUACCCGGUCUUCUGUAUUCGUGGACCCUAAAUAGAGCCAAACUUCAUCGAUUGGAAAUUUUCAAAAUAAAUUGGUGACUUGGGAAACCAUAAUAAUUAUCCCAAGUGGCCACUCUAAUUAAAUAAAUAAUCCCAUUUUGAAUAAUAUCACUUUAAUUGUGAUGACCCAAAAGGUCAUCUCGUAUUUUUGAACCCAAUUCGGGGUUCUGAGGCCUUCAAAACCUAAUUUCCUUCCUCCUCUAUUUGCGUGCAUAGUUCGGGCGCGUUUCCGGAAAGCCUUUGUGUGAAAAUUUGAGAAAAAUACUAAGUUUUACCUUUAAAAUUAAUUUAAGGUGACUUCGGUCAAUAUUUUUAGUAAAACAUAAUCGUUUGGUUUAAAAAAUGACCUACGUUGAAUUCCUUGCUAUUGUGGGUAGUUCCUAAUGCUUAAAUUGAAUCGUUUGAUUUUUUCUAGAUUCUAUUGGGUCGGAGGCUUGGGUGAGAGGAAAAGCUAUGAUUGAGCUUUGAGAUCGGAUGUAGAAUCGAGGUAAGUGUUGUGGCUAACCUUAGCUUGAGGGAUUAGGUGUUGUUGCCUUAUUUGCUACUUGUUUAGUUAUUAAGUACGCCGUAUAGGUGUGGUGACGAGUAUCUAUACGUUGUUGUCGGGUCAUAGCAUGCGAGUGAGUCUUAUACUUGUGACCGUUGUGUUUGUCUAUACGUAUUGUUCCUGCUUAAACCAAUUAUUACUCAUGUUAAACAAGCCUUAUUAUGUUUUUCCUGCUUUUGGAUAUUGGUUGAGUAUUUGCUCGAGUUGAGAUUUCUAUCGAGAAAUUAAAUGAUGAAACGAAGUUGUGUGAUUGUGAUGCCCUUGCCUUGUUGUUAUUGUUUCUGUUGUUUCUUAUGGUAAGGAAGAGUGAUAAAGCACAAAAGGUGACAAAAGGUGCACAUUUAUAUUAUUCAUAUGGUGAGAAAGAGUGAUAAAGCAUGAAGGGUGAUGCCGCGCACGUUUCUAUCAUUGAUUGCAUGGUGAGGAUUGAGAGUAAAAACACGAAGGGUGAUGCCGUGCAUUUUCUGUUUGCUGUGUUUAUUUGUUGUUAUCAGUUCAUGUGUACUAGUUGUUUAGAUUCCUUUACUGCUGUGCUUCUGUAUGUUGGAACCCCCAUAGCAUGUUGCUCCUUCCCGUUCAUUCCAGCUCAACUUUUAUCACUUGUUAUUCUAUUAGUAUAUUGUUUAACUGCAUAGGUUUAUGUUGUUUGUCAUGUCCUAGCCUCGUUACUACUUUGUCGAGGUUAGGCUCGGCACUUACCAGUAUAUGUGGUCGGUUGUACUGAUACUGCACUCUGCACUUUCUGUGCAGAUCUCGAUACUGUACCAUACUGAUUAGAGUUUGGGGUUGUUGCCUUCAGUCCACAAGAGAUCCAAGGUAGAUUUGCCGGCGUUCGCAGAACCUGGAGUCCCCUUCCCUCUAUCUUAGUUCAUGUUUUCUUUCAUUCCAAAAAGCAGAUGUAUUUUUCCUUUAAACCAGUAUUUGCAGAAAUUCUUAGACGUUCGUAGAUUGUGACACCAGAUAUUUGGGGUAGUCAUGUUUUAGAAUUUUGAACUGUUAUAAAAUUUCUGCAUUUCACAUCUAUUUAGCUUUAAUUAUUAUUCAGUACUAUUUUGGUUAGAUGAUUAAGGUGUUAGAAGCGUAUCUGUUGUCUUGCCUAACAUUCAGAAGUUAGGCGCCAUCACGAUCCCAACGGUGGAAAAUCCGGGUCGUGACAAGUUGGUAUUAGAGUACUAGGUUGCCUAGGUCUCACAAUUCACGAACCAGCUAGGUAAAGUCUGAGGGAUCGGUACGGAGGCGUCUGUGCUUAUCCCCAGAGGCUACAGAGUUUAGGAAAAACUUCACAUCUAUUCUUCUCUAUCAUGCGAUUUGAUUUCUCAAUGCUAAUUGGACAUCUACAAUGUUCUUUCGCAGAUGGUGAGAACGCGUACUGCUUCAUCAGUUGAUCAGCAGCCUAAGCCUCCAGUGACAACUCCUACGCGGGGCAAAGGACGAGGCCGAGGCCGUAAUAGUGGCCGAGGAAGGGGCAGGGCUCAGCCCAGAGCUCGAGAAGUAGCACCAGCGGUGGAGCCUCAGGUAGAGUUUGAUGAUGAGGUUUCGGCCCAGACCGUUCCAGCGGGCCCAGCUCAAGUUCCAGAAGGGUUCAUCGCUACCCUAGUACUCCAGGAUGCUUUGGUCCGUCUAGUGGGCCUUAUGGAGAGUGUCAUUUAGGCAGGCAUACUUCUUGUAGCACCAACCAUCUCUCGGGUUGGGGGAGGAGCACAGACUCCCGCUACUUGUACUCCGGAGCAGAUGGCUCCCCAGUUUCAGACUCUAGCAGCUCAGCUAGUUGGGGUUGUUUCGUCGGGUGUUGUGGCACAGACCGGUGACAGAUCAGCUAUGUCUUCUGAUGCCUUGUAGAGAUUGGACAGGUUCACUAAGCUUUUCACUACUACCUAUGGUGGUACAUCUUCAGAGGAUCCCCAGGAUUAUUUGGAUAGAUGUCACGAGGUUCUACGGAACAUGGGGAUAGUGGAGACCAAUAGGGUCGACUUUGCUGCUUUUUGUCUGUCAAGUUCCGCCAAGAAAUGGUGGAGAGAUUAUUGUUUCGACAGACCAGCUGGGUCACCAGAUUUCACUUGGGACCAACUCUCUCAGCUAUUUAUCGAGAAGUUCCUUCCCGUCACUCAGAGAGAGGAGUACUACAGGCGGUUCGAACAUCUUCAGCAGAGUUCUAUGAUUGUCACCCAGUACAAGACUAGGUUUAUUGAUUUGGCUCGUCAUGAUCUUCUUAUACUCCCCACCGAGAGGAUAAGGGUGAGGAGUUUAUUGAGGGACUCGCUCAGCCUAUCAGAUUGCAGAUGGCUAAUGAGUCAGGAAGCGAGGUUUCUUUUCAAGAUGCGGCUAAUGUGGCCAGGCGAGUCGAGAUGGUUUUAGCUCAGGGGAGUGGUCAAAGGUCUAACAAGAGGCCUCGUCAUUCUGGCAGGUUCAGUGGUACAUCAUCUGGAGGCAGGGAUUUUUUUGGUAAAGGCCAUCUUCCCAAGUCAUUUCAUUCAACACUUAAGACUUCUCACGGUGCUCCAGGUGGCUGUGGCCAUCAUGUGCAGCAUUUUAAUCAGCUACUCUACAGUGCACCAUCAACUCCUAUUAGUGCACCUCUGCUCCAGAGUUUUCAGGGUGGUUACUCCGGCCGUCAGGGUCAGUUUCAGGGUCAGCAGUCUCCGCAACCGAAGUCUUGUUAUACUUGUGGUGACCCGAGGCACAUUGCUAGAUUUUUCCCUCGAGCCUCAAGCAGUUCUCAACAUCAGCAUUCUCGUGCCAUAGUUCUGGCACUGGGUGUUCCACCGCACGCUCAACCAGCUAGAGGUAGGGGUUAGCUAGCUUGAGGUGGAGGUCAGGCCGCUAGAGGUGGAGGACAACCAGUAGGAGGCCGUCCCAGGGAGGUAGUUCAGAGUGGCGGGGCCCAUCCCCGAUGUUAUGCUUUUCUAGCCAGGCCUGAGGCUAAAUCCUCCGAUACAGUUAUCAGAGGUACUGUUCUGAUUUGUAAUAGAGAUACUUCAAUUCUAUUUGAUCCAAGGUCUACAUAAUCCUAUGUGUCUUCUUAUUUUGCUUCAUAUUUGGUUGUGCCUCGUGAUUCUUUGAGUGCUUCCGUGUAUGUGUCCAUGGUAGUAGGGCAUUCUGUUAUUGUAGACCAUGUCUAUCGUUCGUGCGUGGUUGUUAUUGGAGGUCUUAAGACUAGUGUAGAUCUCCUACUUCUUGAUAUGGUCAAUUUCGAUGUUAUUUUGGGGAUGGAUUGGCUGUAACCUUAUCAUGCCAUAUUGGAUUGUCACGCCAAGACCGUGACCUUAGCAUUUCCAAGGCUUCCUCGAUUGGAGUGUAUAGGGACUCCUGGCCAUUCUACUAGCAGGUUUAUCUCUUAUAUGAAGGCUCGGCGUAUGGUCGAGAAGGGGUGUUUGGCCUAUUUGGCUUAUGUUCAUGAUUCUAGUGUUGAGGUUCCUACUAUGGAUUCUAUGCCAGUUGUUCGGGAGUUUCCCAAUAUAUUUCCUGCCGACCUGCCGGGGAUGCCACUCGACAGGGAUAUCGACUUUUGCAUUGAUUUGGCUUCGAGCACUUAGCCCAUUUCUAUCCCACUAUAUUGCAUGGCCCCGCCAGAGUUGAAGGAAUUGAAGAAGCAGUUGCAAGACUUGCUUGAUAAAGGCUUUAUUAGGCCUAGUGUCUCGCCUUGGGGUGCGCCGGUAUUGUUUUUUAAGAAGAAGGAAGGAUCGAUGAGUAUGUGCAUAGAUUACCGGUAGUUGAACAAAGUCACCAUCAAGAACAAGUAUCCAUUUCCGAUGAUUGAUGAUUUGUUUGAUCAGCUUCAGGGUGCCAAGGUGUUUUCGAAGAUUGAUUUGAGGUCUGACUACCAUCAGUUGAGGAUUAGGGCAUCCGAUGUCCUAAGAUCACUUUUCGCACUCUGUACGGGCAUUAUGAGUUUCUAGUAAUGUCAUUUGGGUUGACAAAUAUGAUAACUAGGAAAUAUGAUGCAUUUACACUCCUUCAUGCUUAAGUUUUGAUUAGAAAUGUGCACAAAAUAGUCCUAAAGGUUCACAAGUUGUGCUUGAUUGCAGGUUUGAUCAACAAGGUGACAAGAUGUCAAAAACCAGCUCAAAAAGGAGUGAAACUUGCACAAGUACCAAAACAAGACAAAGCUCAGUCAAACAGGGCCAGUGCGGCUACACACCAUUCUGUGCGGUCCGUACAAGUGAAGUUCAGAGAGGUUUUAUUCAGGCCAAAAGGCAAUGCGGCCGCAAGGGGUUUUGUGCGGUCCGCAUUAGGAUCAUUGCGACCGCACUCGAUUUAGUGCGGUCCGCGAGCCAAGGUUCAGAGAGGUGGUGUUUUGGAGGUUGAAGCUCAAUGCGUUCCACGAUCCUUUUUGUGCGGACCGCAAUGGAAGCCACCGCGGCCGCACUCGAUUUCGUGCGGUCUGCAUUGCUCAAGUUCAGAGAGCUGAGUAUUCAAGUUCAGAGCCUUAGUGCGGCUACAUUCAUUUUUAUGUGGUCCGCACUAGCCCCGUAGGGGUAUUUUUGUCCAGAUUUUUUAGCCUAGUAUAAAUAGAUUCUUUUUCCAUUUUUAGGUUAUCAGAUAGUUUGUACUGAGAGCUGCGCUCGUGACUUCGUUUAUUUUAGCCAUUUCGAGUAAUUUUAGUGUGAUUUCAACAUUGAAUCUUUAAGUUUAAUUUAGCAAUUAAUUAUUAUGAGUUUCUUUUCAUCUAUUGCUUUGUUUUCUUCUCUAAUUAUGAGUAGCUAGACCCAUAAGCUAGGGUUGUGGCUCAACCCCAGUGUGGGUAAUUGAUGGAUUUUGUGUUUUGAUGCUUGAUUGUCUAUGGGUGUUUGAUAUUUGGGCUAAUUUAGGGUUUUAAUUGUGAAUUAGUGGUUGCAAACACCAGUUUAUGCCUAAUAGACUUUGGCUCUUCAUGAGAAAGAGAGCCUAAGUCCAUGAAAUUAGUCCAACAAGAAAUUGAGGCGUACUCAAGAGAUUGAUAGCCCCAAUUAAAGGGUUAAACCUAGAGAUAGUAAUACCUGACUUGAACCUUGAUUGCUUGUGCAAAUUUGCAUACCCAAUUCGUCUUGAGAAAGUCAAUUCGAGCAAAAUCACUCGAACUACCGAGAGGUAUAGAGUGAGUAGAAUCGUGCAAUGGUUAUCUCAUACUCCCCAAAUGUGACAAUCUAGCUUUGGAUUCAAGAAUCCGUCAAUUGACCACCUAGGCGAAAGUCACUACCCUAGUAACUUUUAAUCAUUUGAAAAUUUCGCAAUAGUUUAAACCUUAGCUUUAUUUAGUUUAAUUGAGCAUUGUAGUUUUAUAAAAUUAGAAUUAUAAAUCAAACCAAAAAUGUGUAGAAGUUCAAUUAAGAGCAAAUACACAACUCUGCUUUAGAUAGACACCCGACUCCAAUAUCUAGCUCCCUAUGGAAAUCGAUCCCGACCUUAAUCGGGUAAAAGCUGCUUCGACCUCUCUCGCUACUCCAUAGUAGUGCAGGGUUGGCCUCGAUCACUUUUUGGAGUCGUUGCCGGGGGGCUAACGGUUUUGGCUGUCUAUCUAAAUAGUUUUGUGUAUUGUUCUUUUUUCCUUUUGUUUACUAAUUUGUUUGUGUCACAACUUCAGGUACAAAAUGACAACAAACUUAAAUAAUGCACCUUUUGGAGAUCUUCCUCCGGGGGAGGAAGUAGAUGACAAUGUUGAAGAUGAGAUCCCUAUUGUGCCUCAAGGACAAAGGAGAGUCCGCUAGGCUAAUGAUAAUAUUCCAGACCCUCUCCUACCAGCUCCAAGAGUGGCUCCUCGAGUGCUUCCAAACCAAGGCUAUGCAAGUGCAAUUGUCCCGCUCCGGAUUCGGGCGGGCAAUUUUUAAAUUACCAAUGUGAUGCUGACAUUGCUGGAGCAGCGUGGGUAUUUCACGGGCGUUUCCAAUCAAAAUGCUUACAAACAACUCAAGGGGUUCGUGGAUACCUGUUGGGGGAGCAAGCAAACUAAUGUGUCUGAGGAUGCACUACGAUUGAGACUCUUCCCAUUUUCACUUAGAGGGAAGGGAUUGGAUUGGCUUGAACGACUCCCCAACCAUUCCAUCACUACUUGAGAUGAGUUGGCGUACAAGUUCAUUGCAAAAUUUUCUCACCGGGGCAUAUGGCAGCAUUGAGAGAUGAGAAAUUGGCCUUCAAGCAGGAACCCACCAAACCUUUGCAUGAGAUUUGGGAGCGUUAUAGAACAAUGGUGAAGGAAUGCCCCAACAAUGAUAUGACUGAGACGAUGAUCCAACAGACUUUCUACUGGGGCAUUAACACAAAAAAUCAAUGCAUAGUGAACCAACUUACUGGGGGCAACUUUAAGAAGUUGUCUUAUGAUGAGGUUUGUGACAUUCUUGAGAGAUGGCUGACACUUCUUCUGCUUGGCAAAGUNNNNNNNNNNNNNNNNNNNNNNNNNUGCCAUGGCCACCUCCACCUUAUACUUAAAGGCUCGCGAAGCGGAAAAAUGAGAAUCAGUUUAAAAAGUUCAUUGACAUGCUGAAGAGAUUAUCCAUUAAUGUGCCUUUGGUAGAGGCUCUUGAACAAAUGUCGGUCUAUGCUAAAUUCAUGAAGGACUUGGUGACAAAGAAACGGUCUAUAGAUUGUGAAACUAUAAAGAUGACUCACCAAGUUAGUGCAAUAGUGUAUUCAAUGGCCCCGAAGCUUAAAGAUCCUGGUGCUUUCACCAUUCCUUGCACCAUUAGGAGACCGGAUUUUGCUAAGGCUCUAUGUGAUUUGGGGGAUAGUAUCAAUUUGAUGCCCUACUUAGUUUUCAAGACUUUGGGUAUUGGGCAACCGAGGCCGACUUCCAUGAGAUUACAAAUGGUGGAUAGAACGAUGAAGAGACCAUUGAGUAUUAUUGAUGAUGUGCUCGUCCAGGUGGACAAAUUUAUCUUGCCAGUUGACUUUGUGAUCUUGGAUUGUGAGGUGGAUUAUGAAGUUCAUAUCAUAUUGGGGAGACCUUUCCUUGCUACGGGGAAGGCCUUAGUUGACGUGGAAGCAGGGGAACUCACCUUCCAGGUGGGUAAUGAAAAAGUGGUCUUUCAUGUAUGCAAGUCAAUGAAGCAGCCCAAUAGUUCCGAGGUGUGCUCUUUUGUGGACCUUGUCACGGCAGUGAUAGUUGAUGACACCAGUGCAAUGAUUAAUGUGGAGGACCCUCUUGAGGCCGUAUUGUUGAAUCUUGAUGUCAAUGAUGAUGAGGGCCGAAUGGAGUGUGUGAAUGCUUUACAUGGAAUGGGCUCUUACUCUUAUCAGCCUAGGAAACUCUCUUUGGACCUUGAAAAUAGGAAGACUCCACCAACAAAACCUUCAAUUGAGGAGCCUCUGGUGUUGGAGUUGAAACCACUGCCUCCAUACCUUAGGUAUAAGUUCUUAGGCCCUAGUUCUGCUUUGCCAGUUAUUCUUUCCUCUUGUCUUACUAACAUGAAGGUUGAUGCCACAUUGGUGGUGCUUCAAAAGCGGAAAAAGGCAAUUGGAUGGACUUUAGCUGAUAUUCGGGGAAUAAGCCCCGCAUUCUGUAUGCACAAGGUUAUUUUGGAGGAUGAUGCAAAGCCCUCCUUGGAGCAUCAAAGGAUGUUGAACGAGGAAAUGUAAGAAGUUGUGAAAAAGGAGGUGAUCAAGUGGUUAGAUGUCGGGGUUGUGUACCCCAUCUCUGAUAGCUCUUGGACUUCACCGGUGCAAUGUGUACCGAAGAAGGGUGGCAUGACCAUAGUUGCAAAUUCACAAAAUGAAUUGAUUCCUACUAGAACCGUCACAGGGUGGAGGGUAUGCAUGGACUAUCUCAAGUUGAAUAAAGUGACCCGCAAGGAUCACUUUCCUUUGCCUUUUCUUGAUCAGAUGUUAGACCGACUUGCUGGUGUGCCUUCUACUAUUUCUUGGAUGGGUAUUCUGGGUACAACCAAAUCUUGAUUGCUCUGGAAGAUCAGGAAAAGACCACAUUCACUUGUCCAUAUGGACUUUUGCCUUUUUUCGGAUGCCUUUUGGGUUGUGUAAUGCACUGACUACAUUCCAGCGGUGUAUGAUGGCCAUUUUUACUGAUAUGGUGGAAGACAUUUUGGAGGUGUUCAUGGAUGACUUUAGUGUUGUGGGUGAUUCAUUUGAUGAGUGCUUGAAGAAUCUUGGUAGAGUUUUGGCCCGCUGUGAAGAAACCAAUCUUGUUCUCAAUUGGGAGAAAUGCCACUUUAUGGUGGAAGAUGGCAUAGUUCUUGGGCAUAAAAUUUCAAAGUAUGGUAUUGAGGUAGACAAAGCAAAAAUUGAUGUGAUUUCAAGGCUCCCUCCCCUACCUAUGUCAAGGGAGUUAGAAGUUUUCUUGGGCAUGCAGGGUUCUACCAGAAAUUUAUCAAAGACUUUUCGAAGGUAGUGAAUCCCUUAUGAAAGUUAUUGGAAAAAGAUGCCAAGUUCGUGUUUGAUGAAAAAUGUAUGAAAGCCUUUGAACUUCUCAAGUAUAAGUUGACAACCGUUCCUAUCACUACCGCACCUAAUUGGAGCUUGCCCUUUGAGCUCAUGUGUGAUGCGGGCGAUGUUGCGGUUGGGGUGGUUUUGGGUCGAAAAGUGAACAAAAUGUUUCAUCUGGUGUACUAUGCGAGCAAGAUAAUGAAUGAUUCUCAAGUGAACUACACGGUGACCGAGAAAGAACUUUUGGCUAUUGUGUUUGCAAUGGAGAAAUUUUGGCCGUAUCUCAUGGAUGCCAAGGUCAUAAUCCAUACUGACCAUGCCACACUCCGGUACUUGAUGACGAAGAAGGAUUCCAAAGCUAGACUGAUGCGAUGGGUCUUGUUACUUCAAGAGUUUGAUUUGGAGAUUGUGGACUGGAAGGGUAGUGAAAACCAAGUGGUGGACCACUUGUCCCGCUUGGAGGAGGAGGAGAGGCCUCGUGAUGGCCUAGAGAUCAAUGAUUCAUUUCCCGACGAACAACUCCUUUUGGUGUCGGUGAAUGUUAUGCCAUAGUUUGCGGAUGUUGCUAAUUUCCUUGUGAUUGGUAUAAUCCCGUGUGAGCUUUCUUCUAACUAAAGGAAGAAGCUCAAACGAGAUAGUUUGGAUUUCUAUUGGGAUGAGCCGUACUUGUUCAAGAUUUUCACGGAUGGUGUGAUCCAAAGGUGUGAUCCGAAGGUGUGUCUUGGAGGAAGAGCAAUUGAGUAUCUUGGAGGCCUGUCAUUCCUUUCCCUAUGGUGGCCAUCAUAGCGGGGCGAGGAUUGCUUCCAAAGUUCCUUGUUGUGGGUUUUAUUGGCCAACUUUAUACAAGGAUGCAAGUGAACUAGUGAAGAGGUGUGAUGAAUGUCAAAGAGCGGGUGGAAUUUUGAAGAAAGAUGAGAUGCCUAUCAAUACCAUUCUUGAGGUUGAUAUUUUUGAUGUAUGGGGCAUUGAUUUUAUGGGCCCGUUUGUUAGCUCGUGUGGGAACACAUACAUUCUUGUGGCGGUUGACUAUGUUUCAAAGUGGGUUGAAGCCGUGGCUUUGCCCAACAAUGAAACCUGGAGUGUUGUUGCAUUUCUUAAGAAGAGCAUUUUUACAAAGUUUGGUACUCCUCGUGCAAUUAUAAGUGAUGGGGGGGUCUCAUUUUUGCAAUAGAGCUUUUGACACUUUGCUUGCAAAGUAUGGUGUCAAUCAGAAGUUUUCUACUCCCUAUCAUCCUCAAGCAAGUGACCAAGUUGAAGUCUUCAAUAGGGAAAUCAAGAGCAUAUUGUCAAAGACAGUCAAUGCAAAUAGGACCGAUUGGUCAAAGAAGUUGGAUGACGCUCUAUGGGCUUAUAGGACUGCUUACAAGACUCUGAUUGGUAUGUCUCCGUAUAGGUUGGUGUUUGGGAAAGCUUGACAUCUACCGGUUGAGUUAGAGCACAAGUCCAUGUGGACUUUGAGUCAGCUAAAUCUUGAAUGGGAUGUUGCAGCCAAUUUUCAUGUGGAGCAGCUUAAUGAACUUGAUGAAUUCCGAUUCCAUACCUACUCCAGUUCUUCCUUGUACAAGGACAAGAUGAAGUACCUUCAUGAUAAAUAUGCUCGUAGCAAAGAGUUCAAAGUGGGUGAUUUGGUUCUCUUGUUCAACUCUCGGUUAUGUCUGUUUCCGGGAAAACUUAUGUCAAAAUGGAGUGGACCUUUUAAAGUGGUGUGUAUGACCCCGUUUGGUGCACUUGAUUUAAAGAACAAAAAUGGGGAAGUUUUCAGAGUGAAUGGGCAUAGGGUUAAGCACUACUUGGGAAAAUUGAUGACAACCACGUGGCGACACUUCUUCAUCUCAAAUGAUUUGAUGGUAACCUACGUCGUGCCGCAACGUUAAAUCAGGCGCUUCUUGGGAGGCAACCCAUGUGUUAUUCUUCUUAUUUUUCUUUGAUUUUCAUUGUAGUAUAGGAUUUAUUUUUGGACUGACUGGUUGUGAGAUGCUACAGGAUUGUGUUGAUGCAGUGCAGGACAAAGUGGAAAAAAAUUGUUCAAGUCUCUAAAGUUUGCAAUACGGACCGCACUACAUUUUGUGCAGCUACAAAGAACUUAGUGCGGGGGUAAAAAAUCAGUGCGGACCGCACGGAUGAUGGAUGUAAAAACCCACUCUCUGAAGUUUGCCACUGCGGCCACAUUACAUUUUGUGCAGUCCGCGGUGGACCACUGCGACCGGAAAGCAUUUUGUGUGGACCGCAAUGGUUGCCUUCUCAAACUUGUACAAUUUCGUGUGGUGCGAACUGCACUGCAUUUUGUGCGGUCCGCGGUGGGUAGGUAAGCUGGCCCCCGGGACUUUUUCUAUAAAUAGUACCUGAGGCCCACUGGUUGAACUUUUCAAUCCUUUACUCUCAAAGCCCUAGAAAUCACUGUUCAUCAGUAAAAUUGCACGAAUUCAUCUGCAUAGUCUCGAUUAAUCUUCAGUACUUCUCACAUCUGGUAACUUUAACUUCUUUUUAGUCAUUUAAUUUAUUUAUUUUCUUUUAGUUUUUGUUUUUCUUGUGUUUUCUUCUUGCCUUUCCCGUAUUUCUUUCGAUUUGGUAGCUUAGGUUAGUUAAUUUCUUGUUUAAAUUAGGAUUAGGUAGUUAAAACAUAAGGCAAACACUUAGAGACUCUUUAAUAAGUGAAAACAUGGACUUAAAUUGAACAUUUCAUGAACCCUAGGUUGGUGCUGUUCUUUGGUACUCAGUGCGGGCCGCAGUGGAAUUUAGUGUAGUCCGCGGUGUCCUUGUGCGAUCCGCAAUGGUAUUUUGGGCGGACCGCAUUAUUAAAAGUUCUGAAACCUGAUCAUUGAGGACCGCGGCCGCAUUGCAUUUUGUGCGGUCUGCGGUGCCUCAAUGCGGAACCCAUUGCCAUUUUGUACGGUCCGCGGUGCAUUUAUUCAGAGAGUAGGUAGUCUGAACCCUACCUCUGUGCGAACCGCGGUUCCAUUUUGUGCGGUCCGUAUUGGCCUCUCUGCGGCCGCACUGUAUUUUGUGCGGUCCGCACUCUACAAGUUUUAACUGUCUACAACAUUUUUCUACAACUGUAAAUCACAAUGCUUUUCUAGAUACUAACAAGUCUAAUGAAUGUUGUUUGUAGACAAUGGUGAAAUAAAGAGGCAAGGGUGUUAAACAAGCAGGUAAAGGAGAGUCCUCCCGGGGUGGGAAACAAAAGAUGAUAAAGUUGACUCCCCAAGCCCGACAAAACAUAAAAAACACAAGGAAACUCGUUAGAGCUGCUGAUAGGGAUAUUGAUCAAUUGGGGAGUGAGUACAAGCCCUCCCAGGAGGCAUCAUUAGAUUUAGUGCCAGAGUACAUUGCUGACUGGCCAGAGAAACAGACUAUGAGAGACACUCCUCCACUUUCCCCCCACUGCCCAAGCUUCAAUGUGUGUAUUUUUUGAGUCGUCUGAGGGCUCAGCUGCCGGUAGUGGAAAUGAAUACUCCACCUCUCCCACAGCUUUAUUAUCUGGAGAGGGUGCAGAAGGAGAAGAAGAGGUAGUAGGAGAUGAAGAGACAGUAGGAUAAGGGGGUGAACCUCAGGUGGGAGGAGUAGAGAGAACUAGAAACCCGGAGGUGUGAAAAGACCAUUUUGUGAGUGAGGUGGCCUACCAUAAGUUCAGAGAAUGGUGGCCUGUGAGGAAAUUGAUUCCGAAGCAAAUUUUUGUGGAUAGAGACCUCUUGCCUCACAACCCCAAUGUGAGAAGACAGUUUAGAGAGAGAGUGGGUUGGGAGUACUUCUUAAGAAAUUGUGUGGAUGCAAACGAGUACCUGGUCAAGGAAUUCUACACCAAUGCUGCCCACAUCAAGAAAGGCACCAAAGUGACCAAGGUGCGGAAUUUGAAAGUGCUAUUUGAGGGAAAGUAAUAAAUGACUACUUGGGCUUCAAUAAGGAGGAAUUGUAUCUGGAAAAGAUAGAAUUAGGUGAGGAGGCCCGUCCUUGGUUGGCACAGUACUUGGCAAUCCCAGGUACCACCCUCGAUUGGUUGAAUGCGGGAGUGAAAAUCUUAAGGAGAAGUUUGAAUUUCGAGGAUAAAGGGUGGGAGACAUUCGUGUGCAGCAGACUGGACCCCACUACCCACGACAACUUACUCCCUCUUCACCGGGUGGUACUGGUAGCAUCAAUUAUGGUGGGGUACCCGAUUAACGUCGGGAAUGUGAUAUCUCGGGUUAUUACGCAGGUAGUGAGUGAAGGUGAUAGAAACUACUCCUUCCCCAGCUUCUUAACCAUGUACUUUAGGGACCUAGAGGUAGAAAAGCGGAAAUUUGAUGUCGAAGUGAAAGCAAAGGCACCGUUCUCAUGGUACAACAUGCAGGGUGAUGACAACCCUAAAGGCAAGAACUGCAAGGGAAUAACAACUGCUUCAACUAGACAGUCUGAAGAGCCAGUAGUGGUAGUGGCUCAUACUCAGCCUUCUUCCACCUCAGCGGACAUGCCCUCUGGUCCAUCCACUUCGGUAGUUCCAAACAUACCCUCCAUCCUGCCCUACCCAGUGACUGCCCACCGUCUGAGCCAGGCCCUUCUCAGCAUCAAAAACUGGAUGCAGAUAUCUUCCUCUAAGUUGUCUGUCCUUACUUCUACCAUGGCAGCUCAGUCGGCACCUACGCCUCCAUAGGUCCCACAAGCUAUUGAGGACGCCCUCAAGGAUAUUUUGGACAACUAGAAGAAAAUCCUUGACACUCAUAAAGUGCUUACAGAGGCUGUGGAUUCUUAUGGGAAAGCUCUCAAGGAGCUUGCUAGGGAGGGCAAGAAGAUGAGGAAGACGUGGGCUUCCAAGGAGUCCGUGAAGGAGUUGCGGGUUGAGGUUGACAGGUUGAAGGCAGAUCACCUGCCUUUGGAUUUAUUGCUACAUGACUCGGUGCCAGCAGCCCAUCCCCAGCUAGUGCAGUCAGAAAGUCCUCCCAAGAGGAAGAGGGUGAUUCCCCGUGCAGAUGACGCAGUCAUACCGUUGGAGGACCCGCAGGGAGAUUCCUCCAGCUAGCCCCAAGAGUUAUCCCAGGCCUCAAUCCAGGUCCAGGAACAGGUCCCAGCAGAGCCAUAGGUCUUAGGGAGCCAGUCUCAGGUUCCCGAGCUUAUAGAGGACCCAGGAACCACUUAGGAUCCCAUGUAGAUAGAUGGGCCAUAUGGAGUUUUUGUAUCCUCUUCCCUUUAUUUUUGGUGCUUAUUUUGCUUAGUUGGCAUUGAGGACAAUGCUAGCUUUCAUUUGAGGGGGUAGACCCUACUUUGAUUUGAUUGGAUGACUAUACAUAUAUGACAUAUUUUAUUUCUUUCUUUAUUUUUCAUCUUUGGUAUAUAUAUAAUUUCGUCACUUCAUUACAUUUUUCUUACUUUUUAUCUUGGGUCUGUAUAUAAAAGUUAUGUUACAUUGUAUAUAUUCAUUCUCCUAUUGUAUAUUCGAUUAAAUCCCCUCUUGUAAAUAUUCAUUUUACUUUCCGCAGUUUUCUUUCUUAGCUUCUUAUUUAUGUUCGUAGCUUCUUAUUUUGGAUUUUUACAAUAAGCCUUUGGUUUCUUAAUGAUACGGUUCUUUCCAAAGGUGGAGUUUGUGUGAACCAGGUGGCUCUUCCCGAUGAUGGAUGGCAUGACUACCUUCUUAAGGGUUUGAGUCUAUUUUUCUUUUCUUUUUUGCUUUUUAGUAGUUAGUGGUUAAGAGUGCCUCAAGCAAAGCUUCACUUGGGCAUAACACAUUUGCCUUUGAUCUUAUGUCAAAAACAAAUCGUUGUGUAUAGAAUGGUGAAAGUUGUGACCUUGAGACUCUUGUGUUGGCCGAUAAUCAUCAAGUGGUUUUUCGGAACCAUUGUGUGCUCAAAUCUUAUCUAAGGUUGUUGUGGGCUCCCGACUCUGUAUCUUUAGCGAUCCCAUAGCUUGUGCGGUGAGAAAUUUGCAUUGCAAGUCCAAGUCCCGAGCCAUUGGUCUAGAACUUUCCCUGAAUAUUUGUUGAGGCGAAAUCCUAAGUGAAUUUUAACUUGAGACAUGAUUAUAGGCUCUCCUUGAUCCAAAUGUAGCUUGAACACUCCCAUAGCCUAACAAUGAUAAAAUCUCUAGUCAACCCUUUUGAGCCUUAGACCUUUUUCCUUCAAGAACCAUAAUACAAGCCUUUACCCGUUCUAAAAGAUACCCUCUCUUGGCACCCGAUCUUUCCUUAGCACAUGAAAAAAGUAUAAGUUUGGGGGAAGAGGCGAGGAUUGCAACAAAGUGGUAAAAAGGUACAAAAUGAAGAAAAGAANNNNNNNNNNNNNNNNNNNNNNNNNNNNNNNNNNNNNNNNNNNNNNNNNNNNNNNNNNNNNNNNNNNNNNNNNNNNNNNNNNNNNNNNNNNNNNNNNNNNNNNNNNNNNNNNNNNNNNNNNNNNNNNNNNNNNNNNNNNNNNNNNNNNNNNNNNNNNNNNNNNNNNNNNNNNNNNNNNNNNNNNNNNNNNNNNNNNNNNNNNNNNNNNNNNNNNNNNNNNNNNNNNNNNNNNNNNNNNNNNNNNNNNNNNNNNNNNNNNNNNNNNNNNNNNNNNNNNNNCCCUUAGAAAGAAGUGAAAUGACUUAAAAAGUCAAGUGAAUGUGUGCCAAAAUGAAACAAAAGAAGUGCUUAAGGGAAGAUGGAACCUACUUAGACCAAACAUUUCCUAGCCUGAACCAAAAACCUUCACUAUGUCUCCACAAAAGCCCUAUAUGAUCUUGAAUUGAAUAAAACUUACAUUGGACUCAAAUAAGGGGCAAGCAUAUGGUACUUAGAGCUGGACUUGUGACUUUUCCUCGAGAGAGAUGAGUGAGUCUCCAUUAACCUCGUUCUGAGUGCCACUAUCCCAAAGGUGAGGUUUGCUUAGGGAGAGUUGAGGAUAUGUGAGUUUGGGUUCCACAAUGACCAAAGUAAUAGAAAGAGUUCUUUGAUGUGUUGAGUCAACUCUUGAUGCUCUUGUGUCACACUUAAUCCAUGGUGUUUAAAGGAGUAAAUGUUGUUAAUGAUUCAUUUGUAUUGAGGGCAAUUGUUAGUCCUAAUUGAUGCUAGAUGAGUUCACUUUACGACAGCUGAAUUUCUUGGAUUUUCCCUUAAGGGCUGGGUCUUAUUUUGUUUGCUGGAGGACAAGCAAAAGCUUAAGUUUGGGGAGUUGAUAACUAGGAAAUAUAAUGCAUUUUACACUCCUUCUUGCUUAAGUUUUGAUUAGAAAUGUGCACAAAAUAGUCCUAAAGGCUCACAAGUUGUGCUUGAUUGCAGGUUUGAUCAACAAGGUGACAAGAUGUCAAAAACCAGCUCAAAAAGGAGUGAAACUUGCACAAGUACCAAAACAAGACAAAGCUCAGUAAAACAGGGCCAGUGCGGCCGCACACCAUUCUGUGCGGUCCGCACAAGUGAAGUUCAGAGAGGUUGUUAUUUAGCCAAUAGGCAAUGCGGCCGCAAAGGGUUUUGUGCAGUCCGCAUUAGGAUCAUUGCGGCCGCACUCGAUUUAGUGCGGUCCGCGGAGCCAAGGUUCAGAGAGGUAGUGUUUUGGAGCUUGAAGCUCAAUGUGGUCCGCUGUCCUUUUUGUGCGGACCGCAAUGGAAGCCACUGCAGCCGCACUCGAUUUCGUGCGGUCCGCGUUGCCCAAGUUUAGAGAGCUGAGUAUUCAAGUUCAGAGCCUUAGUGCGGCCGCACUCGUUUUUGUGCGGUCCGCACUAGCCCCGCAAGGGUAUUUUUGUCCAGAUUUUUCAGCCUAUUAUAAAUAGAUUCUUUUCCCAUUUUUAGGUUAUCAGAUAGUUCGUACUGAGAGCUACGCUCGUGACUUCGUUCCUUUUAGCCAUUUCGAGUAAUUUUAGCGUGAUUUUAACAUUGAAUCUUCAAUUUUAAUUUAGAAAUUAAUUAUUAUGAGUUUCUCUUCAUCUAUUACUUUGUUUUCUUCUCUAAUUAUGAGUAGUUAGACCCAUAAGAUAGGGUUAUGGCUCAACCCUAGUAUGGGUAAUUGAUGGAUUUUGUGUUUUGAUGCUUAAUUGUCUAUAGGUGUUUGAUAUUUGGGUUAAUUUAGGGUUUUAAUUGUGAAUUAGUGGUUGCAAACACUAGUUUAUGCCUAGUAGACUUUGGCUCUUCUUGAGAAAGAGAGCCUAAGUCCAUGAAAUUAGUCUAACAAGGAAUUGGGGCGUACUCGAGAGAUCGAUAGCCCCAAUUAAAGGUAUAAACCUAGAGAUAGUAAUACCCGACUUGAACCUUGAUUGCUUGUGCAAAUUUGCAUACCCAAUUGGUCUUGAGAAAGUCAAUUCGAGCAAAAUCACUCGAACUACCGAGAGGUAUAGAGUGAGUAGAAUCGUGCAAUGGUUAUCUCAUACUCCCCAAAUGUGACAAUCUAGCUUUGGAUUCAAGAAUCCGUCAAUUGACCACCUAGGCGAAAGUCACUACCCUAGUAACUUUUAAUCAUUUGAAAAACUCGCAUUAGUUUAAACCUUAGCUUUAUUUAGUUUAAUUGAGAAUUGUAGUUUUAUAAAAUUAUAAUUAUAAAUCAAACCAAAAAUGUGUAAAAGUGCAAUUAAGAGCAAAUACACAACUCCGCUUUAGAUAGACACCUGACUCCAAUAUCUAGCUCCCUGUGGAAAUCGAUCCCGACCUUAAUCGGGUAAAAGCUGCUUCGACCUCUCUCGCUACUCCAUAGUAGUGCAGGGUUGGCCUCAAUCAAAAUUCCCCAAAAAUAUUUAUGGAUUUGAUAAACUGGGUGUUCAAGCCCUAUCUGGAUUCCUUUGUAAUUAUUUUCAUUGAUGAUAUCUUGAUCUACUCCCGCAGCCGAGAGGAGCAUGAGUAGCAUCUUUGAGUCGUCUUUCAGGCUCUAAGAGACAGUCAGUUGUAUGCUAAGUUUUCGAAAUGUGAGUUUUGGUUGAGUUCAGUUGCAUUCGUGGGUCAUGUCGUAUCCGCAGAGGGUAUUCAGGUGGAUCUUAAGAAGAUUGAGGCAGUCAAGGACUGGCCUAGACCCACAUCAGCUACAAAGAUUUGGAGUUUCUUGGGUUUGGCGAGUUAUUACCAUCGGUUUGUGGAGGGGUUUUCAUCUAUAGCAGUCUCAAUGACUAGGUUGACUGGUCGGACGAGUGUGCGACGAGUUUUUAGAGGCUCGAGAUAGCCUUGACUACGGCGCCAGUGUUGGUGUUUCCCACAUGUUUAGGACCAUAUAUAGUAUAUUAUUAUGCAUCUCGUAUUGGGCUUGGUGCGGUGUUGAUGCAGAAUGGCAAGGUUAUUGCAUAAGCUUCGUGGCAGUUAAAGAUUUACGAGAAGAAUUAUCCUGUUCAUGAUUUGGAUCUAGAAGCCAUUGUUCACGCGCUGAAGAUUUGGAGGUAUUAUUUAUAUGGCGUGUCAUGUGAGGUGUUAACGGAUCAUAAGAGUUUACAGUACUUGUUCAAGCAGAAGGAGCUAAAUUUGAGGCAAAGAAGGUGGUUGGAGCUACUGAAAGACUAUGGUAUCACCAUCUUAUAUCAUCCCGGGAAGGCCAAUGUGGUGGCCGAUGCUUUGAGUAGGAAGUCGGCUAGUAUGGGUAGCCUUGCAUAUAUUCCAGUCGGUGAGAGACUGCUUGCUUUGGAUGUUCAGGCUUUGUCUAAUCAGUUCGUGAGGUUGGAUGUUUUUGAGCCCAAUCGUGUUCUAGCUUGUACAGUCGCCCAAUCUUCCUUGUUUGAGCGUAUUAGGGAGCGGCAAUAUGGUGACCUUCAUUUGCUUGUCCUUAGGGACAUAGUGUGGCAUAGAGGUGCCAAGCAGGUUGCAGUUAGGGACUAUGGAGUUUUGAUGCAGGGUCGAGUUUGUGUGCCUAAUAUGGAUGGACUUCAUGAGUUGAUUCUAGAGGAGGCCCAUAGUUUUCGGUAUUCCAUUCAUCCAGGUGCUGACAAGAUGUAUCAAGACUUGCGGCAGCAUUAUUGGUGGAGGAGGAUGAAGAAGGAUAUUUUUGCAUAUGUAACUCAGUGUUUGAAUUGUCAGUAGGUAAAGUACGAGCAUCAGAGACCUGGUGGUUUGCUUCAAAAGAUUGAGAUUCCUAAGUGGAAGUGGGAGCGUAUCACUAUGGAAUUUGUUGUUUGACUCCCAUGAACUCAGAGGAUGUUCGAUGCAGUAUGGGUUAUUGUUGAUAGGCUGACUAAGUUAGCACAUUUCAUUCCUAUAGCAGUUUCCUAUUCUUCGAAUCGGUUGGCAGAGAUCUAUAUCCAUGAGGUAGUUCGUCUCUAUGGUGUUCCCGUGUCUAUUAUUUCUGACCGAGGUACGCCGUUUACCUCGCAUUUCUGGAGGGAAAUAUAUUAUGAGUUAGGUAUGCGGGUUGAGUUGCGCACAACAUGUCAUCUUCAGACGGACGGACAAUUCGAGCGUACUAUUCAGAUAUUGGAGUAUAUACUUCGCGUCUGUGUUAAUUGUACAAAAUCGUGAGAAAUACCUAGGUAGUAGGUGAAUCAACUGAAAAGCCAAAUAAAGGCUAAGAGAAAAUGAAGAAGCCCAUCAAACUCUGAACAGCAGCAAUACAGCAAAGGGAAUGACAAUUUUCUCAACCAAAAGCCUUGAAAUCCAAUUGUUUUCUGUCCACUUUCUUAUGUGAGUGCGGACGAAAGGAUAAAGAAGUGUGUCGAAUGAAAAAUCAGUAAGGAUGAGUGUUAAUUCUCCAAAAAAAAUAUAGAAUGAAAGUGUGUCUAAUAUGAGAGUUUAUGUGUUCUUUUAUGCAAAAAAAUUAGGGACCUUUUUUAGAGAAUGUGUCAGCUGAUAAGUAUCUUUUCCUAACAUAUUUUGGUACAGUUGUGCCCUUUAGAUUCUUCUUCUUUUUUUAUUAUUAUUUCCCUCAUUUUAUAUUUUUGUUAUUUACCUCUCUUUCAAUCACGCUUGGCCCUUUAGCUACAAGCCCAUAACCACUGGUACCUGACCCCAAUGGGCAGGCGUAACACACAAGACAACCUUGUCCCCUCAAAAGCAAAUUGAAAUAUUUUAGCUACGAACAAAUUUACCACCACCUCAUAUUCGAAUAAAAUAAACAGUAAUUAAUAUUUCAACAGAUAAAACGUGUAGUUGACUACUAAUUUAGGCAUGAAUAAUGGCUAAUUGUGCACAUAAUCACUAAACUUAAACUGAUGCAAAUGAAACCAACUAAAGCAUAAUUAACUUGAACAUAGAAAGAAAAGGCCAAAGAGAUUACCAACGAAACCAGGUUUAACAGGAAAGAAAAAUAAAUGACGAUCAAUGGUAUUUUUCAGAACUCUGAUGGCCAGGCGAUGAGCUAAAAACUGCCAUUGAUCGAUUGCUUUUAUCAAGAGCAAUCGACUGAUGUCGAUUUCAAACUCAAAUGACCAAAUUGGAACGAACAAACAAAAAUGGCGAACUUGGGUUUUAUGUGAUUUCUAGAUCUGAAAAUUGACGAGUUUGGUAGAGCUUUUGGAAAAUUGAUGGUGGGUUCAUGAUGAGGGAGUGUUUGGGAUUAUAUGGUGACAAGUUGGGAGUGUUUGGAGUUGAGCUACAAGGGAUGUAUUUUGGGGCAGCUACGUUUAGAGCGAGAGAGAUGAGAGGUAAUGAAAGAAGAAAUGAAGGGGUAUCUAAGGGUUGUGGGGUGUUCGGACAUAUUUAAGGGAAGGGGAAGGUCAGUUCUAG